rnacentral:rRNA from 1 species
AACGUAGGAUGCAAGCGUUGUCCGGUUUUAUUGGGUUUAAAGGGUGCGUAGGCGGCCUAUUAAGUUAGUGGUGAAAACGUUCGGCUUAACCGGAUACCCGCCAUUGAUACUGAUAGACUUGAGUGCGACAGAGGGUGUUGGAAUGUGUGGUGUAGCGGUGAAAUGCUUAGAUAUCACGCAGAACACCAAUUGCGAAGGCAGAUGCCUAUGUCGUAACUUACGCUGAGGCACGAAAGCGUGGGGAGCAAACAGG